AGAACGAACGCUGGCGGCAUGCCUAACACAUGCAAGUCGAACGAGACCUUCGGGUCUAGUGGCGCACGGGUGCGUAACGCGUGGGAAUCUGCCCUUAGGUUCGGAAUAACAGUUAGAAAUGACUGCUAAUACCGGAUAAUGACGUAAGUCCAAAGAUUUAUCGCCUAGGGAUGAGCCCGCGUAAGAUUAGCUAGUUGGUGGGGUAAAGGCCUACCAAGGCUACGAUCUUUAGCUGGUCUGAGGGGAUGAUCAGCCACACUGGGACUGAGACACGGCCCAGACUCCUACGGGAGGCAGCAGUGGGGAAUAUUGGACAAUGGGCGAAAGCCUGAUCCAGCAAUGCCGCGUGAGUGAUGAAGGCCUUAGGGUGUAAAGCUCUUUUACCCGGGAUGAUAAUGACAGUACCGGGAGAAUAAGCUCCGGCUAACUACGUGCCAGCAGCCGC
rnacentral:rRNA from 1 species